rnacentral:lncRNA from 1 species
UCCAGUUCACUUUUCUCUCAUUUUGCUUUAGAAACAUGCUGCCUGCCUGGAGGGAUUUAAAGCUGUUCAUCUAAGCACUCUUUUGCUGUCACCAAUGGCAUCUUUGGCACAUAUAUGCAGGAAUAGUGGAUACCUGAAAGGCAUUUGGGAAUGUGAACUCAGAGACUGUGAAAGGCAAAAACAAGGUAAAACUCUGGCUGUGCUUCAGAUGUUUCUGUG